AGGUACCCCUGGAGAUGCCCACUUGCAGCCUUCCAGUUAUCUUUUCUUCGUUGCUAAACUGGUUUGCUCAGGACGGGUAUUUUAUACCCACACACCAAAGAAACUUUUUGAGGUUUGGGGAGAUGCAUCAUUGCGGAUCCUCUCGUAUUGCAAAAAAAGAGAAGAGAGCCUUGGAUCUAUCAGUUCAAGCAAACAUUUCAUCUGACAGCCUUGGAGAUCCCACUUUGGAGAUGGGGCUUUAACAACUCUGCCAGCUAUCCUUUCUCCACUGCCAUACAGAUUGUGCAGCAAGAUGGUUCGGCCCUCAUACCAGGAGGCAAAACAAGAAUUUGUUGAUUUUGCGAAUUCUAGGUGCAUUAUUUAUGACAAUAAAUG